AGAGUUUGAUCCUGGCUCAGGACGAACGCUGGCGGCGUGCUUAACACAUGCAAGUCGAACGAGAAUCUACUGAAAGAGUUUUCGGACAAUGGAUGUAGAGGAAAGUGGCGGACGGGUGAGUAACGCGUGAGGAACCUGCCUUGAAGAGGGGGACAACAGUUGGAAACGACUGCUAAUACCGCAUGAAGCAUAGGGGUCGCAUGAUCCUUAUGCCAAAGAUUUAUCGCUUCAAGAUGGCCUCGCGUCUGAUUAGCUGGUUGGCGGGGUAACGGCCCACCAAGGCGACGAUCAGUAGCCGGACUGAGAGGUUGAACGGCCACAUUGGGACUGAGAUACGGCCCAGACUCCUACGGGAGGCAGCAGUGGGGAAUAUUGGGCAAUGGGCGCAAGCCUGACCCAGCAACGCCGCGUGAAGGAAGAAGGCUUUCGGGUUGUAAACUUCUUUUAAGAGGGAAGAGCAGAAGACGGUACCUCUAGAAUAAGCCACGGCUAACUACGUGCCAGCAGCCGCGGUAAUACGUAGGUGGCAAGCGUUGUCCGGAUUUACUGGGUGCAAAGGGCGUGCAGCCGGGUCUGCAAGUCAGAUGUGAAAUCCAUGGGCUCAACCCAUGAACUGCAUUUGAAACUGUAGAUCUUGAGUGUCGGAGGGGCAAUCGGAAUUCCUAGUGUAGCGGUGAAAUGCGUAGAUAUUAGGAGGAACACCAGUGGCGAAGGCGGAUUGCUGGACGAUAACUGACGGUGAGGCGCGAAAGUGUGGGGAGCAAACAGGAUUAGAUACCCUGGUAGUCCACACUGUAAACGAUGAAUACUAGGUGUGCGGGGACUGACCCCCUGCGUGCCGCAGUAAACACAAUAAGUAUUCCACCUGGGGAGUACGAUCGCAAGGUUGAAACUCAAAGGAAUUGACGGGGGCCCGCACAAGCGGUGGAUUAUGUGGUUUAAUUCGAAGCAACGCGAAGAACCUUACCAGGGUUUGACAUCCUGCUAACGAAGUAGAGAUACAUUAGGUGCCCUUCGGGGAAAGCAGAGACAGGUGGUGCAUGGUUGUCGUCAGCUCGUGUCGUGAGAUGUUGGGUUAAGUCCCGCAACGAGCGCAACCCCUAUUGUUAGUUGCUACGCAAGAGCACUCUAGCGAGACUGCCGUUGACAAAACGGAGGAAGGUGGGGACGACGUCAAAUCAUCAUGCCCCUUAUAUCCUGGGCUACACACGUAAUACAAUGGCGGUCAACAGAGGGAAGCAAAGCCGCGAGGCAGAGCAAACCCCCAAAAGCCGUCCCAGUUCGGAUUGUAGGCUGCAACUCGCCUGCAUGAAGUCGGAAUCGCUAGUAAUCGCGGAUCAGCAUGCCGCGGUGAAUACGUUCCCGGGCCUUGUACACACCGCCCGUCACACCAUGAGAGUCGGGAACACCCGAAGUCCGUAGCCUAACCUGAAAAGGAGGGCGCGGCCGAAGGUGGGUUCGAUAAUUGGGGUGAAGUCGUAACAAGGUAGCC
rnacentral:rRNA from 1 species